rnacentral:rRNA from 1 species
CCUACGGGUGGCAGCAGUAGGGAAUCUUUCACAAUGGGCGAAAGCCUGAUGGAGCAACGCCGCGUGCAGGAUGAAGGCCUUCGGGUUGUAAACUGCUUUUAUAAGCGAGAAAUAUGAUGGUAACUUAUGAAUAAGGAUCGGCUAACUACGUGCCAGCAGCCGCGGUCAUACGUAGGAUCCGAGCAUUAACCGGAGUGACUGGGUGUAAAGAGUUGCGUAGGUGGCAUAAUAAGUAGCUAGUGAAAUCUGGUGGCUCAACCAUUCAGACUAUUGGCUAAACUGUUAAGCUCGAGACCGUUAGGGGUAACUGGAAUUUCUAGUGUAGGAGUGAAAUCCGUAGAUAUUAGAAGGAACACCGAUAGCGUAGGCAGGUUGCUGGGACGGUUCUGACACUAAGGCACGAAAGCGUAGGGAGCAAACGGGAUUAGAUACCCCUGUAGUC